GAAUGCAAGAGUCUAAGUGGAGUUAACCUCUAUUUUAUAGAUGAGGAAACUGAGAAUCAUGGAAGAUUCACUCAUUUGAACAAGUAUUUAUUGUGGACAUACAAUGUGCAAGCUAAACAAACACUUGUGGGACACGAUGGACACACUCUCCCAGGAAUAUGAGAAAAAGAUGAAUUUACAAUGGGUAGGUGCCUUCGAUUAUUAACCAGUGGGAAGCACACAAACCCAACCAAUAUGAAAACUGUGGAAGAAAUUCUAGAUGCUGAAGACAUGAGGCUUCUAAGGCAAUAAGAGAAUCCUACAGAUGACUAGUGUUAGACGAAUUCCUAUCACUGCUCAAAGAGAACUACUGAAAUGAA